UUAUAAUAUAUUUAUGCAAAAAGGAGAAAAUCUGUCCUAUAUAUAAAUAUGUAAAUAUAGGACAGAUUUUCUCCUUUUUGCAUAAACAUUUACCAC